UCAACUUACCCUUGGUGCUGGGAUGUGCCUUGCACUGUCUGAAACAAGCAAGGCUGAAGAGCAGCUGAGGCACUGGGGCUCACCCCAGUCAGAUAUAGAUGUUCAUCUGUACUCAGGCAUUGCCAACACAAACCAUCAGCUGCCUAAGAUCAGAACUCAGCUGACAGAUGUCAGAAGAAUGACCUUAAGAACGGGCCUUACCCAGUAUUCCAUGCCUGCAUCCCCACCUAGGAAUACUCCUCUCCUGCGUGGCCUCUCGUGUUUAAGGAUGCAGGUGUUUCCAGCACUACUUCAGGUGAAACCAAAGCACCCCCAGAUAGGAGCUGUGAUAAAGCCAGGGGUUAGGUGAGUGAGUGGGUG